CCUUCCGCCAUGUAAAUCAGCCAGGUCUGGUCUUGAGCAUUUCAAGCACAGAACGCUUGUUCAGAACUGCAAUCUGUAUGUUGUACUCAAGAGUAUUCUAUCUGUGUUCUCUUUGCUGCUGCUUGGAUAAAUGCAUAAACCUGGCCUUUGGAACGGUUUUAUUUACCUUACAUAUAGGCCAGAAUGCCUCGAAUCCGCUCCUUCAAUUUAACGCUCGAUUUAAGACUUUCAACGGAGAUAGGGUCGUCGUUUUUAACUCUGAUAUGGGGAGAGAGCGGGAUCUUCUCUUGGACCUGGAACUAUUCGUCACAGUAGCGUUCUCCUUUAACGCCCAAGAUAUGUUGUUGGAAGUGUUCAACCGGCCAAUUGUUAGACUCCCAACCCCACCGGGAAUGCAAGUGGUGGAGCACCUCGCUGUAACUGGUGAUAUCGACGUUAAGUCCAUCUCAUUCAGCAAUCUCUUUCUUGCCCCUGGAAAUGGUAACUUUUUAAAAUGACGACGUGAUCUUCGAUUCUUCCCGUUAGUUCUUGCGGUGGUUAGUAUGCAAUGUAAGUUUCUUUUAAGAAAGCCGAAGCAGAUUUAGCCAUGUGAAAGACUUGGGAAGUAGCAAUGGGCCGUAUACUUGCUGACUUUUGUUACCACUGUUGCUUUUAUUUUAGAAUAAAGCUGCUCUUCUUACUACUCACUGCCUUGAUUCUUGGAUACAACAAUUCUGUUGGACAACUAUUGCUCAACUUUAA